UACGUAGGGAGCAAGCGUUGUCCGGAAUCAUUGGGCGUAAAGGGCUCGUAGGCGGCCAACUAAGUCAGACGUGAAAUCCCUCGGCUUAACCGGGGAACUGCAUCUGAUACUGGAUGGCUUGAGUUCGGGAGAGGGAUGCGGAAUUCCAGGUGUAGCGGUGAAAUGCGUAGAUAUCUGGAGGAACACCGGUGGCGAAGGCGGCAUCCUGGACCGACACUGACGCUGAGGAGCGAAAGCCAGGGGAGCAAACGGG
rnacentral:rRNA from 1 species